AUCCUCCCCACAGCCCAUCCAUAUAUCUCAUCCCCACCACCCAUUCAUGUGUCUCAUUACCACCCCCCAGCAUAUCCAUGUGCUGCGGCUGUGCACUGGCCUUGAAGUUAUGCCGGCCCAAUGUUGCAGAGGCAUACAGGCCGGCCAGGCCCCCUGUAGUGACGGGUCCGCUCCGACCACUGUGUCUGUGGUAGUAACACCACUAAUCAAAGUGUUAAAUGUUAAUCAGAAGGAGCAAAUAAUUUAAAUAGAUCUGGCAAAUGGAGACUAAUAAAGUUGUAGGGUGUAAGAACAUAUCUCUCUGCAACCGUAUGAUCUGCCCAGUAUGCGAGAACAUUCACAUAGAUCUGCGCAUGCCUCAGAGAUGCAGUGUUUGCUACUAACUCCACUGCUACAAGGACAACUGGUGUGUACUAUGUACCCCAUGACGACUUCAAACGUAAGACUCAUGUUGACUUAAAGCUUUAGCAGGGUUACAGUUUUGGUAAUAGGCAUAGGCGUGCGCAGCCUAUUGCAUUAGGGUGUGCACCCUAAAGCACAAACACACGCCACGCGCGUGUGUGUGUAUAUAUCUAUCUAUAUAUAUAUAUACACACACACACUGCUGUGUGUGCUGUUAUUGUGAUGUGUGUGUGAGGGUGCGUGUUUGUGACUGUGCUGUUUGUGUGUGUAUGUUUGUCCUGUGAGGGUGCUGUUUGUGAGGGUGCUGUUAGUGUGCUGUGUGUGAGGGUGUUGUGUUUUUUUUUAAAGGUGCUGUGUGUGUUUGUGAGGGUGCGGUUAGUGUACUGUGUGUGUGUGAGCUGUAUGUGUGUAGGUGCUGUAUGUGUGUGUGCUGUAUGUUUGGAGGGAUUUGGCAGAUUAGUAAAUCCUUGCUGCCAUGUGCCAUCCCUGGUGGUCUAGUGGAGAGUGAACUCUAGCCUGCGGGGCUAGAGUUAACUCUCGCGAGAUCUGAGCGUUGCCGCAGCAACGCUCAGAUAUCGCGAGAGGAACCUGGCGGAGCUUCUGUCUAGAGCUGCCUGGGUCCUCUACUGCCUCCCUCCAUGCUGCUGUGGGCCGGUGAGGUAGAUCUUUGGUCUCCCCGCCGGCCCAU